GAUGAACGCUAGCGACAGGCUUAACACAUGCAAGUCGAGGGGCAGCGGGGGAGUAGCAAUACUCCCGCCGGCGACCGGCGCACGGGUGAGUAACACGUAUGAAACCUGCCCGUAGCAGGGGGAUAAGCGGAAGAAAUUCCGUCUAAUACCGCGUAACAACCCAUGGAGGCAUCUCCGUGGGUUUAAAGGAAGCGAUUCCGGCUACGGAUGGUCAUGCGUCGCAUUAGCUUGUUGGCGGGGUAACGGCCCACCAAGGCGACGAUGCGUAGGGGUUCUGAGAGGAAGGUCCCCCACACUGGAACUGAGACACGGUCCAG
rnacentral:rRNA from 1 species